rnacentral:miRNA from 1 species
ACAGGCAUUACCUAGGGAUCUUGUUAAAGUGCAGAUUCAGUGGGCGAGGCCUGAAAUUUUGCACUUUUCCCAAGUUCCCAGAUGCUGCUGAU